UACGAAGGGAGCUAGCGUUGUUCGGAAUCACUGGGCGUAAAGCGCACGUAGGCGGAUGUGUCAGUCAGGGGUGAAAUCCCGGAGCUCAACUUCGGAACUGCCUUUGAUACAGCACGUCUUGAGUCCGAUAGAGGUGGGUGGAAUUCCUAGUGUAGAGGUGAAAUUCGUAGAUAUUAGGAAGAACACCGGUGGCGAAGGCGACCCACCGGAUCGGUACUGACGCUGAGGUGCGAAAGCGUGGGGAGCAAACAGG
rnacentral:rRNA from 1 species